rnacentral:misc_RNA from 1 species
GGCAGAGUAGCGCACCAUUAAAAAUAGCUUUAAAACGUUGAAACACCCCACUUGAAGAGAGAAAAGGAAACGAAAGCGAAGGAAGGAAGGAGAAAGAAGAGUUGUUAUCGAUGGCUGGUUCGUGGAGAGCUUGUGGAUUGGUUGUAUCAGCAAUCAUCUUCUUCGGAUGUCUCUUUGCAAUUUCCAUUGCGAAAGAAGAAGCCACCAAGUUGGGAACAGUCAUUGGGAUAGAUCUUGGCACCACGUAUUCUUGUGUUGGUGUUUAUAAGAACGGUCAUGUUGAAAUUAUAGCAAAUGACCAAGGAAACCGCAUUACCCCAUCAUGGGUUGCUUUCACUGACAGUGAGAGGCUUAUCGGUGAGGCUGCAAAGAACCAGGCAGCUGUCAAUCCUGAAAGGACCAUCUUCGAUGUCAAGAGACUUAUUGGAAGAAAGUUUGAAGACAAGGAGGUCCAGAGGGACAUGAAGCUGGUUCCAUAUAAGAUUGUGAAUAAGGAUGGAAAGCCUUACAUCCAGGUUAAGAUUAGGGAGGGAGAGACCAAGGUCUUCAGUCCUGAAGAGAUCAGCGCUAUGGUUCUGACUAAGAUGAAGGAAACGGCUGAGGCAUUCCUUGGGAAGAAAAUCAAGGAUGCUGUGGUCACUGUUCCUGCUUACUUCAAUGAUGCCCAGAGGCAGGCUACCAAGGAUGCUGGUGUUAUUGCUGGACUAAAUGUGGCAAGAAUUAUUAAUGAACCAACUGCUGCUGCCAUUGCUUAUGGUUUGGAUAAGAAAGGUGGCGAGAAGAACAUUCUUGUCUUCGAUCUUGGUGGUGGAACAUUCGAUGUCAGUAUCUUGACAAUUGAUAAUGGUGUUUUUGAGGUUCUCUCAACAAAUGGAGACACACAUUUGGGAGGUGAGGACUUUGAUCAAAGGGUUAUGGAGUACUUCAUUAAAUUGAUUAAGAAGAAGCAUGGAAAGGAUAUCAGCAAGGACAACAGGGCCCUUGGAAAGCUCAGGAGGGAAUGUGAGAGAGCCAAGAGAGCUCUUAGCAGCCAGCACCAAGUCAGAGUGGAGAUUGAAUCACUUUUUGAUGGAGUGGACUUUUCUGAACCACUCACAAGAGCUCGCUUUGAAGAAUUGAACAAUGAUUUGUUCAGGAAGACCAUGGGACCUGUGAAGAAGGCCAUGGAAGAUGCUGGAAUGGAGAAGAACAAGAUUGAUGAGAUUGUUCUUGUUGGCGGCAGCACUAGAAUUCCAAAGGUUCAACAGCUCCUCAAGGAUUACUUUGAUGGAAAGGAGCCUAACAAGGGUGUGAACCCAGAUGAGGCUGUUGCGUAUGGUGCUGCUGUUCAAGGUGGCAUCUUGAGUGGAGAGGGUGGUGAUGAAACCAAAGGUAAGUGCUUGGUGAUUCCCAUUUAGUCAUGCAUGAUAAUGGCGUGGCUUGUGAAAAUGGUGUUGUGUUUUUGUGGAGACUGCAAUGUUGAACUAUGGCUGACGAUAGCCCUGUCACAUAAUGGAUGCAGAUAUUCUUCUUCUGGAUGUGGCUCCCCUUACACUGGGUAUUGAAACAGUUGGUGGGGUGAUGACCAAGUUGAUUCCAAGGAACACUGUUAUCCCAACCAAGAAAUCUCAAGUUUUUACAACUUACCAGGAUCAGCAGACUACUGUCUCCAUUCAGGUAUAAUUAUUGUUAUAUUUGCUUGCUUUUUGAUGGAUUGUAUGCUUGAAUCUUAACUUAGUUGCUUCUGGUUUGAUACCAGGUCUUUGAGGGUGAAAGGAGUCUUACAAAGGAUUGCAGACUGCUUGGGAAAUUUGAUCUGACUGGAAUUCCUCCAGCUCCAAGAGGAACCCCUCAAAUUGAGGUUACGUUUGAAGUUGAUGCCAAUGGCAUCGUCAAUGUGAAGGCCGAAGACAAAGGCACAGGUAAAUCAGAUAAGAUCACAAUUACCAAUGACAAGGGUCGACUUAGCCAGGAGGAAAUUGAACGAAUGGUGCGAGAGGCAGAAGAGUUUGCUGAGGAGGACAAGAAAGUGAAGGAAAGGAUUGAUGCUCGUAACAGUCUGGAGACCUAUGUUUAUAACAUGAAGAACCAGAUUAAUGACAAAGACAAGCUUGCUGACAAGCUUGAGUCUGAUGAGAAGGAGAAAAUUGAAACUGCUGUGAAAGAGGCCCUUGAGUGGCUUGAUGACAACCAGAAUGUUGAGAAGGAAGACUAUGAAGAGAAGCUCAAGGAGGUUGAAGCUGUUUGCAACCCAAUCAUCACGUCUGUAUAUCAGAGAUCUGGUGGAGCCCCAGGUGGUGGAUCAGCGGAAGAUGAAGAUUCACAUGAUGAGCUUUAAGAAUCUUUGCUUCGGAGGGAAAAAAAAUGAGGAUGUAGGCUAGGCGAGGUUGAUUGAGAAUACUGUAAAACUCUGAUGGUAGAAGCUAAAGGGAAAGGAAUUUUCCCUUCCUUCUCCUGUUUUUUUUUUUUUUUUUUUUUU